CGUGUAGGCGGUCGGUUAAGUCCGAUGUGAAAGCCCGGGGCUCAGCCUCGGAAGUGCCUCGGAAACUAGCCGGCUGGAGCGCGAUAGAGGAGGGUGGAAUUCCUGGUGUAGCGGUGAAAUGCGUAGAUAUCAGGAGGAACACCGGCGGCGAAGGCGGCCCUCUGGAUCGUUGCUGACGCUGAGACGCGAAAGCGUGGGGAGCAAACAGGAUUAGAUACCCUGGUAGUCCACGCUGUAAACUAUGGGUACUAGGUGUUCGGGGUAUUGACCCCCUGAGUGCCGCAGUUAACGCAUUAAGUACCCCGCCUGGGGACUACGGCCGCAAGGUUAAA
rnacentral:rRNA from 1 species